AAGGAUCAUUACCGAGUGUAGGGUUCCUUGCGAGCCCAACCUCCCACCCGUGUUUACUGUACCUUAGUUGCUUCGGCGGGCCCGCCAUUCAUGGCCGCCGGGGGCUCUCAGCCCCGGGCCCGCGCCCGCCGGAGACACCACGAACUCUGUCUGAUCUAGUGAAGUCUGAGUUGAUUGUAUCGCAAUCAGUUAAAACUUUCAACAAUGGAUCUCUUGGUUCCGGCAUCGAUGAAGAACGCAGCGAAAUGCGAUAACUAGUGUGAAUUGCAGAAUUCCGUGAAUCAUCGAGUCUUUGAACGCACAUUGCGCCCCCUGGUAUUCCGGGGGGCAUGCCUGUCCGAGCGUCAUUGCUGCCCAUCAAGCACGGCUUGUGUGUUGGGUCGUCGUCCCCUCUCCGGGGGGGACGGGCCCCAAAGGCAGCGGCGGCACCGCGUCCGAUCCUCGAGCGUAUGGGGCUUUGUCACCCGCUCUGUAGGCCCGGCCGGCGCUUGCCGAACGCAAAUCAAUCUUUUUCCAGGUUGACCUCGGAUCAUGUAGGGAUACCCGCUGAACUUAAGCAUAUCAUUAAGCGGAGGAA
rnacentral:rRNA from 1 species